UCGAUCGCUACUGUACAGUCAAUGGCGGCAUGGCGGCAACGCGCAUUGGAAGUUGGAAGUUGAUGCAUGUGCGACUUGAUGUGGCGUUGCAUGUGGGAGGCCCCGUCGGUAAUGUUCGCAGACUGGUCAUUUGAUGAUACGUGUGCACAGUAGUAGUGCUUGGGUGCCUCAAGAGGGAAUCGCAGAGCAUAACCACCCAUAGAGCUAAAAGUCAUGGAAGAUUUUUAAAAUUGUUAUUUGAUUUUGUGUUGUUACAGCAGUAGUAUGUCCUUCAACAAUCUGUUAUGUCUAACCAUGGAAUGAGUCGCAUGUGACUAAGUCAACCAAACGGGGCAACAACAAUUAGUCAGCAAUGGAAUUAGUCAGUGGAGAACAACAUUCAUUCCUGAGCAUGAUUGAAAUUUGCCAUGUUUUCAGGCCAACUGGAAGGAUUUUUCUUUUUCACAGAACUUUACCAUUUUCAUGGUAUACUUAAUUGCUUGUCAGUGGAUUGUCACUUGGUAUCGUUUGAAUGGUACAGUAUAUUUGCACAUUAUUUCUUUUAGUUUUUGUUUAUAAUAUGUAUAAACAAGCUUGAAAUAACAAACCAACAGUAUUUUUAGUUUGGCUUACGCAUGCAGCUCUAUGACAUGUUGAUGUUAGCUAAAAUGUUAUUAAUCAUAGGACUAGGUAGUAUGAAAUGAAAUAUCUUCUCUUGGAAGUUUGUGUUUAUGGAUCUGUUUGAGAUGACUCUUGAGGCAGGAAGCUUUUCCUGCUUCUUACGAAAAGGGGCAUUGGAUGCCUUAAUAUCUAAUACCAACCAAGUAUCAUUGCAAAGAUAGGUAAAAGAUAUAUCAAUAUAGAUUAUACUCUGAGUGAUGGUGACAUGGCAAAAAGAGAGAGCUGUAUGAAUAUUUGCUGCAUCAUUUACUUCUAUUAUUUAUAUUUUCAAGGUAUCUUACUGACUUCUAUUGGUUUUAUUUGUGGAAAGAAUAUCUUGAGUGGGAGAAUUGAAUCACAAUUGACUAGAUGUUUUACUAUAUUAAAUUAGUUUAUCACAAAGAAUUUUUUACUCAUUCAUGUUCUGUUUCUGUAAUGUAGGUGGAAUAAUCGCAAUGUCGUGGUAGUAAUUCGCGAGAGAUAUGCCAAUAGGGUUUCGCUGUUUUCAAUUCACAAUAGUAAUGGAUUCGAAGAGGAUAUUGAUGGAGUUUUGGUAUAAAAAAGUAUAAGUAUAUGUUCCGGCGGAAGGGCAACCGAAGAGUUUCGGAUCCUUUUACUAUCGCACAUGUUAUGGUAUUUUUACAAAAUCCUUGAUGUGCUUAUCUGGACCCCCUUGAUUUCUGUGGCCCCGUUUCCCCUUGACUUAUAUUAUUUUCUUUAACCCUUUAGUGUGUGUAAAACUAAAGGCUAAAAGAAGAAUGAUUCAAAAAUUGUGGGAGAGAAUCAUCAAAGAAUCAUACUCGUUUAGGUAAUCCAAGGAAAUAAGAAAGAGUAUUAACUCGGCGUAGUCUUCGAUUCCGUCUUUUUAAAAGCUGUUUUUUCUGUGCGUGGAACUAUUUUGGUCGAGACGUUAUGGUUGUCUUAAAGGCACUGAAGGUUGCAUUAGAUCCCAAACAAAAAGGGAACGCUGAAAAUCGAUUGCGAUGGGAAUUAGUGGCAAUGUUACUGUGUAGAUAACUUCAGAAAGUGUGACUCCAGCUGAUGUAAACCGCACCAGCUCUGCUAUUACCAAGUCUGUCUCACUUUUGCCGCCUAGCAGGAAAAGGUUGUGAGAGUAGCAGAAGAAUUGGAAAUUGCAGUAAACCCGGUUUUGAAAGAAGCCAAUCUUUCCGAUGAUAUGGGAGCCCAGCCUGUGGAAACAAAAACCCUAUGUUUCAGAUAGAAAGACAAAAGGAACACAUCGUUCAUAAGCUACUUCUGAGGACCACUGUCACCGAAAGAAAAAUCACAUCGCUUAUAGACUCGGAAGGUGACAGCGAGACCCAAAAAUUUGCAACAACGAAGCAAGUCCUCCACUGUUACAGACCGCAAUGUGUAAAUGCGUCACAUCCGGGAAAUUAAUACUGCAGUAACCAGAGCGGUUAAAAAAAUGGCACCAACUCCUACAUAUAAGAUUUUGCCGCAACGCAUCCAAGAAUGGGGCUUAACAACUUGCAGGGCUUCGGUCCCAACUAAGAUUACGCAGCAGAUGCUCUUAAUAUACGACCCAGCAAUCUUUACUUGCGGUCUUCCAGUGGCGGGAAUUUGUUAUGCUUUUAUGCACGCAAUUGCUCAACAAGGAAUUAGGUAACCAAUUCUGUUGUAUAUAAAAUUUUUAUUUCUGUUCUGUUGAGGUGGAAUGAUGAAGAGAAAAGAUUUUCGCGAAGAUGGGCAAUGUGAGAUCCAAGAAGAAAAGGAGUGCCCAUUGUUUAAAGGGUCAGAGACUCGGCAACUGGUAUUGCUGACCCGUGGUGACAGCGUCGAAUAGAUUGAAGAAGGGUUGCGUUGCGUCGCAAAAUAUUCGCGUCAUAUUAUUUCCGUCAUUGCUGAUACUGAACGCCAUCUUUACGGAGUCCAAUUCCAUCCUGAAGUUGAUUUUACUGAAAACGGACGAAAAAUGGUGCAUAACUUCUUGUUCGACAUCUGUGGAUUGCAAGGAGUUUCCACAUCGGAGAAAUGCGAGCAGCAGUGUAUCCAUACGUCCGGCUUACGGUCGGACGUAAUAAGAUCGUGCUCAUGCUGGUAAGUGGCGGAUUCGAUCUCCGCCGUUUGUGCUGCUCUUCUCCAUAAAGCACUUCUACAGAGUGACGAACAUCCAAAUCGAUAACGGUUUCCUGCGUAAAGACGAAUCCGAGCAAGUCGUCACUAGUUUACAGUAACUCAAGCUCGAUCUUCGGGUAACUUGAGAUACUUUUCUGGACCAUUCAGCUCUUCUUCCUGCAAUUCCUGAUACCCAUUUGCCCCAAGAGUUACGUAAAAAAUGGGUACAUUUUUAAACAGAUCUUGCUGUAACCAUGGAUAGUUGGAUACAGCUAAUUAGGUUGUAGAUAAGAUGGUUGAAGCCGUCUUAUCAUUGCUUAGGCAAAUGAUCUCCGCCACUCUUUACAGGACACGGAUGCGGAAUUGUAUCACUGACCAGAUUUAGAUGGUAUAUAUUAUAAUAGUGGAGUCAAUAUAGACUUUUGAAAUUGAAAAAUUAAUCGGCUUUGUCGUCUCGUGAAAAUCUCUUAAACUCGCUUCUUAGGAAAAAUUCACGUGAUGACUUGUUGAGUAUUCCUUAAUAUACAUGCACACUUGUCGGAAAUAAUGGGUGCAUUUGGUUUUCGUGGAACAAAUUAAACAUUGUUAAUGUGCAGCUAGGUGGGUUGUUAUUGCUCUCCAAAGGCUAUUCAAGGCGUUAUGCCAUUUCCUGAGAUUAAACAUUCAGGAAAUGUAAAUGUUCGCAAAUUGUUAAGAUCUAUUCAGAGUGGUACCACAAAGUAUGACUGUAGGAAAGGGUACGUCGGCUUCUAAAAGUGAAGAACAACUCUGAAGUCUUUGGUAAGAGGAAGAGGUACUGCUAAUUGAAGCGUCAGAUGACGGUUUUGAGAAGGGACUCUUUCCUUUGCCCAAUGAAUCUAUGCUUGGAACUGGCAGGUGGCGUUUAGCAGUGGCACCCAAUCUUUAUUCUUACAACCCAGAGGUGCUUUUCACUUUUCAGUGGAAUUGAUUGAUGAUACUUGUUGGUUAAUCCAUGAAGAAUACCAAUACAUGGAUAAGUGGAAGGUAGUAAAAGUAUGAAACUGUAAUUCCUCGUGGCAUUUUAAAUCACGCAUACGCGGCAGUUCGUGAGCAGACGAACCAUUGAAAGGUCCUUGCGCAGUCUAGCUGCAUCCAUCCAGAUACUAGUAGAACCGAAAACAUUGUUUUGACAAGUACUGUCAUAUUUCGGUUGCAGCUUUUCACUAAAUACCAGGCUGAUCCUACGAGCUACGGUAGUUUUACCUACAAAUGUUUAGCGUUUCGUGCUGCAACUAGAGUUGAUAUUCCAGGAUGUUAUGCCUAAAUUUGGAAUUCAGCUAUCAGAGAUUAGCAAAAUUGAAGCAGAAACUCUAGAUGGCGUUGAUGUGCGUUUAUGAUGAAGAUCAGGAGUGACAAGUUAAAUGGGUGUGUUACGUUACCCUGCUUUGUGUUUCAAAAGAUUUUUCGUCAAAAAAUAUUGCUUUUUUGUAGGUGGUGGUGUUUCGCCUUGUCAGUUAUGCCAGCUGCUGAACCAGCAGCCUGGAUUUCUGCUAUCAAUGUACCACAAGAGAUCUUGACACUUUAAGAAGGCCACUAUUGCUUACAUGAAGAUCACCAUCCAGUUCAAUCAACGACAGAGUCUUCUUCUACUUUGUGUUGCUAAUCAUCAGCCCUCAGCAUCCCAGGUAUCCAGAUUUCCAAGUUUCUCUGAUUAGCCAACCAUCAUCCAUACCCUUCAGCUCUUCAGUGUGGCUUCUCUUCCUCUCUUCCUAGUCUGCUGAAUGCCAACAUUGAAUAAGGUUCCUCGUCAUUGCCUUUCCAUGCCAGCUCACAUGGAUGGGCUUUAACAAAAUCUCCAUUUUUUGGACCGCAAAUAUUCAUCUUCCCUCGGUACAACACUGCCGUUUUGACAAUUUCGGUAGUUUCGCCCCCAGUGAACCACACGGAACUACAUUUUCUUCGUCUUCCUGUUGUUGUCUACGACUUCACCUCAUCGUUGUCUUUGUUGACGUCUUCGCCUUCAUUUUCGUCUCGUCGUCUUGGUCGUCUU